rnacentral:tRNA from 1 species
GGAUUCGUGGCUGAGAGGUUUAAAGCGUCAGUUUUGAAAAUUGAAAUAUAAACUUUAUAUCGUGGGUUCGAAUCCCACCGAUUCCU